NNNNNNNAGGGCGAUCUGACUGCGACAUCCUGUCACCCCAUGAUCGCCAAGGGUUGAUUCGGCUGAUCUGGCUGGCUAGGUGGGUGUCCCCUUCCUCCUUCAUCACUUCAUGUGUGUCCCUCCCGAAGCUGCACUUCCCCCAAAUAGAGACUGACCAACUGACCCGUCUUCUUCGGUCGGUCGAGGAAAUACGAGUAGCUGCGCUCCCCUGCUAGAAUCUCCGAGCUCUCUUUCAUGUAAUGUGUGUUGUACAUUACGUGAAAGUUGUAAAAUUCAUACUUU
rnacentral:snRNA from 1 species